rnacentral:rRNA from 1 species
AGAGUUUGAUCAUGGCUCAGAUUGAACGCUGGCGGAAUGCUUUACACAUGCAAGUCGAACGGCAGCACGGGGCAACCUGGUGGCGAGUGGCGAACGGGUGAGUAAUACAUCGGAACGUGCCCAAUCGUGGGGGAUAACGUAGCGAAAGUUACGCUAAUACCGCAUACGAUCUACGGAUGAAAGCGGGGAUCGCAAGACCUCGCGCGAGUGGAGCGGCCGAUGUCAGAUUAGGUAGUUGGUGGGGUAAAGGCUCACCAAGCCAACGAUCUGUAGCUGGUCUGAGAGGACGACCAGCCACACUGGAACUGAGACACGGUCCAGACUCCUACGGGAGGCAGCAGUGGGGAAUUUUGGACAAUGGGCGCAAGCCUGAUCCAGCCAUUCCGCGUGCAGGAUGAAGGCCUUCGGGUUGUAAACUGCUUUUGUACGGAACGAAACGGCGAGCUCUAAUACAGUUUGCUAAUGACGGUACCGUAAGAAUAAGCACCGGCUAACUACGUG